rnacentral:rRNA from 1 species
UACGAAAGGGGGCUAGCGUUGCUCGGAAUUACUGGGCGUAAAGGGCGCGUAGGCGGUUUAGCAAGUUGGAUGUGAAAUCCCUCGGCUCAACCAAGGAAGUGCAUCCAAAACUGCUGAGCUUGAGUACUUAAGAGGAUCGCGGAAUUCCCGGUGUAGAGGUGAAAUUCGUAGAUAUCGGGAGGAACACCAGUGGCGAAGGCGGCGAUCUGGGAAGAUACUGACGCUGAGGUGCGAAAGCGUGGGGAGCAAACAGG